CGGCCGCAGUACUCUGACUGUGCUAAGGUAGCAUAAUAAUUUGGCUUUUAAUUGGAGUCUAGUAUAAACGGCACUAUAUGGGGAAAAACUGUCUAUUACUUAUUGGGUGAAAAUUCCCAAAUUAAAAAUAUAAGACGAGAAGACCCUUAGAAUUAUUUUUUGUUGGGGCAACAACAUCAGAAAACAUAUGAUGUAAUCAUUUAUCUAUAAAGAAUUUAAUUACCUAAGGGAUAACAGCAUAAUUUCUUUUUUAGAUUGUGACCUCGAUGUUGGACUAGGAACCUUAUUUAUUAG
rnacentral:rRNA from 1 species